rnacentral:misc_RNA from 1 species
GAUGAAGAACGCAGUGAAAUGCGAUAACUAGUGUGAAUUGCAGAAUUCCGUGAAUCAUCGAGUCUUUGAACGCACAUUGCGCCCCCUGGUAUUCCGGGGGGCAUGCCUGUCCGAGCGUCAUUGCUGCCCAUCAAGCACGGCUUGUGUGUUGGGUCGUCGUCCCCCCCUCCGGGGGGGGACGGGCCCUAAAGGCAGCGGCGGCACCGCGUCCGAUCCUCGAGCGUAUGGGGCUUUGUCACCCGCUCUGUAGGCCCGGCCGGCGCUUGCCGAACGCAAAACAACCAUUCUUGCCAGGUUGACCUCGGAUCAGGUAGGGAUACCCGCUGAACUUAAGCAUAUCAAUAAGCGGAGGA